CUCCCCCAAUGCAGUUUUUUCUGUGACAAGGACAAGUCCAGGCGGGUGAGUUCUCCCCCUUCCCUUGGAGCGACGGCAGGGUGGGCGUGCGCGCACACGAGCCGCGAGCAACGCAAUGCUCGUCCUUUACGCCCCAGCGCCGUCGGCACGCCAAAUGACGAGCAAUGGUCAAUGCGAAACAGAACGAAAAAAGCAAAAAGAUCAAGAUGCGGCGCUAAAAUGAGGAGAUGGAUUCUUUUCUUCUUCUUUUUUGCUUGUCACUCUUGGGUUGCCGCGACUAUUCGCACGAUCGACCGGCCCCUCGGCGGUUUGUGGGCUUUGCGCGCGCGCACACGCACCAAAAGGCAGGUGCCAACCAAAGAAUGGCUAUAGGCCCUUUAGUC
rnacentral:lncRNA from 1 species